rnacentral:rRNA from 1 species
AUGCUUUACCAUGCAAGUCGAACGGCAGCAUAGAGAGCUUGCUCUCUGAUGGCGAGUGGCGAACGGGUGAGUAAUAUAUCGGAACGUGCCUAGUAAUGGGGAAUAACUAGCUGAAAGGUUAGCUAAUGCCGCAUACGACCUACGGGUGAAAGCAGGGGAUCUUCGGACCUUGCGUUAUUAGAGCGGCCGAUAUCUGAUUAGCUUGUUGGUGGGGUAAUGGCCUACCAAGGCGACGAUCAGUAGCUGGUCUGAGAGGACGAUCAGCCACACUGGAACUGAGACACGGUCCAGACUCCUACGGGAGGCAGCAGUGGGGAAUUUUGGACAAUGGGGGAAACCCUGAUCCAGCCAUUCCGCGUGAGUGAAGAAGGCCUUCGGGUUGUAAAGCUCUUUCGCAAGAGAAGAAAACUUGCUAUCUAAUAAAUAGUAAGUAUGACGGUAUCUUGACAAGAAGCAC